rnacentral:rRNA from 1 species
AGCGAACGCUGGCGGCAGGCCUAACACAUGCAAGUCGAACGAACUCUUCGGAGUUAGUGGCGGACGGGUGAGUAACACGUGGGAACGUGCCUUUAGGUUCGGAAUAACUCAGGGAAACUUGUGCUAAUACCGAAUGUGCCCUUCGGGGGAAAGAUUUAUCGCCUUUAGAGCGGCCCGCGUCUGAUUAGCUAGUUGGUGAGGUAAAGGCUCACCAAGGCGACGAUCAGUAGCUGGUCUGAGAGGAUGAUCAGCCACAUUGGGACUGAGACACGGCCCAAACUCCUACGGGAGGCAGCAGUUGGGAAUCUUGCGCAAUGGGCGAAAGCCUGACGCAGCCAUGCCGCGUGAAUGAUGAAGGUCUUAGGAUUGUAAAAUUCUUUCACCGGGGACGAUAAUGACGGUACCCGGAGAAGAAGCCCCGGCUAACUUCGUG